ACUUAAAUUGGAAAAAACUUCGGUAUACCCCUUUUGGGGGUAGUAAAAAGGAGGUGUGACAGUCCAUAUGUCACAAAGAUGUAUCUAACUUUAAGUAGCAUUACUGGUGGCGAACGAUAAAGAAGGACAUUGUUAUGCGUGUUUCACGGUGUUUGAAUUUCCAGUAGGUGUGGACAGAUUGACCAAUUCUACGUAUUUCAUUCCAGUGUUAGCUUCUUACACAUUAGAGAGAUUAGCUUAUAUCUAGAGAGAUUUUUUGCUUGCACGGUAUGCUCAUUUCUAUAAUUACAAACUGUGGCACUCAAUUCACAUUGCACUUUUGGAGAGCUAUGCAAGGAAGAUUGUGCACUCAAGUAGAGCUCAUCAUGACAUUUAACCCAGAGACAAAUGGCCAGUCCGACCGAAUUAUUCAGAUCCUUGAGGAUAUAUUGAGAGCCUGUAUUAUUGAUUUUUGAGGGCUUUGGUGUAAGGCCCCGUAAAAGUUUGCUAGUGAUCUAAGGUUUUAUAGUGCCAAGGACAAGUUAUGAUGUUUAGAAGGUUGUAGAAUAAGUUUCACACAGAUUUGUGGACUGCACAAUGCGUCGCGAAGUGUGUAGAAGAACCAGCUCAAGAGGAUGAUUCUUAGUCAAUUAUGCGGACCAUGAAUCAGCUUCGCUAACCACAGAAACGUCACAGAAUGGGUCAGAAGAGUGCUAGUUUUAGAGAUCUUUUCGUGGUGAACUUUCCGGAGUGCAUAUCAAUUUCACGGACCGCAGAUCUGUCAUAGAAAUAGUUGGGCCACUUAGGCAAUUUUUGAAGGAAGAAUCUAUAGUCCAAUGUGCGGACCGUAAAACAUUAUGCAUACCGCAGAUUCCCUGCAUAUCUGACCAGUCCAUUUAGAAAUUUUAGAUGACCAUUUAACGAUCCCUUUUGCGAACUGUGUAUUGAAGUGAUCCCUUCAAUAAUGGAAAUGUUAGAUGGGAAUUGAACAUUGGAUCUUAUGGGAUGGUGAUUGGAAGUCAUAAGCUUCCAAACUUGAGUUUGGGUAUUACGGAGAGUAGGGAGAAGGUAUUUUUUGAUGUAGUUAUUGGUUGGGUGUAGUUUGGGUGACCAUGCAUGUGUUGUUGAAGGUCACAUAGUAACCAAGGGUAACUAUGGGUGUGAAUUGGUCAUGGAAGAGGUGUGAAGGAUGAGAAAGCACAAUUACUAAGAUGGUAAAGGGCUAUUCCCCCUACGUAUUUGACAAAAUAUUUAAAUGACUUACACAUAGAAAUCCUCUAAUGUUGGUCAAAUUAAUUUUUUGAUGUAGAUUGAAGUAUAACGAGUGGAGCAACAUAGUAGGAACCCUAAGGAAGUUUGAUUAAGUGGAUACAGGUGGUACCUCAGCAGGCGGCACAGAUUCACGAUAGGAGUGCAUCCUUUCUUUAGCUAAUUAUGGUGAGCCCUACUCUACACCAGGGCCCUCAUAUUGUAUUUUGGUCUUCUUGUAUAUUUUUUUGGGUAUCGUCAGGGCCUUGUCACCGGCACUUUCUUACUUUACUCAUGACAGUUUAAGGAUCAGUAGAUAAAUUGUGGGUCACGUAUGUAUGGGAAAAUUAUAAAUGUUGUUGUCUUUUUUCUUCCACUUAUAACUAUUGGCUUGUAAUGUUUUGUCAACUAUUAAUGGGAUUCUUAAGUAAUGGAAAUCAGCAUUGCGUA